AAGGGUUUAGCUCAGUGGCACAGUGCAUGCUUAGCAUGCAUGGGGUCCUGGGUUCAAUCCCUAGUACCUCCA
rnacentral:tRNA from 1 species